rnacentral:rRNA from 1 species
CAAUUUUCCGGCCGGUCUAUACUGCAGUAGAACGCUGAAGGGAGAGCUUGCUCUUCUGGAUGAGUUGCGAACGGGUGAGUAACGCGUAGGUAACCUGCCUGGUAGCGGGGGAUAACUAUUGGAAACGAUAGCUAAUACCGCAUAACAUUGACUAUUGCAUGAUAGUCAAUUGAAAGGUGCAAAUGCACCACUACCAGAUGGACCUGCGUUGUAUUAGCUAGUUGGUGGGGUAACGGCUCACCAAGGCGACGAUACAUAGCCGACCUGAGAGGGUGAUCGGCCACACUGGGACUGAGACACGGCCCAGACUCCUACGGGAGGCAGCAGUAGGGAAUCUUCGGCAAUGGACGGAAGUCUGACCGAGCAACGCCGCGUGAGUGAAGAAGGUUUUCGGAUCGUAAAGCUCUGUUGUAAGAGAAGAACGAGUGUGAGAGUGGAAAGUUCACACUGUGACGGUAUCUUACCAGAAAGGGACGGCUAACUACGUGCCAGCAGCCGCGGUAAUACGUAGGUCCCGAGCGUUGUCCGGAUUUAUUGGGCGUAAAGCGAGCGCAGGCGGUUAGAUAAGUCUGAAGUUAAAGGCUGUGGCUUAACCAUAGUACGCUUUGGAAACUGUUUAACUUGAGUGCAGAAGGGGAGAGUGGAAUU